CAAUGUUUCCGUCGCGUCGUCGCGUUCGAUUUCCCUAUGCAUUCGGUGACGUUUUCAAUUAAUAUCACGGUCCCGUUACUCCUAAAAUGUCAACUUACUCCCUCCACCUUCCCCUCCACCCAUCCAGGCGAUCUAAUUAAAGGGACUUUUGUUUGUGUAUUAUACGAAACCGAGAAGACCCCGCGUGUUGUUAAUUAUAAAUUGCGCCUUAUCCGAAAUCCCCGUUGUCAGGCGUUUGCUGCUGUUCAGUUCUCGAUCAUUUUAAUUUAUAUUGUUAUACAUUGAUAUUGUAUACACGGCUGUGGGAAACGUCGUCGACUGGAAAUGCGCUCCCGGAUCAGCGGACGUGUCAAAAGUGUAUAUACAUAAUAUUAUAAUACGGUCGACCCAAAAUGUUUAUAAAAUAUACUUUAAUCCCCAUCUAAAUGCAAUACAGAAUAUUGUAAUAUCAUCAUCUACCUCGUGUUUUGUUUUAUCCUUCGAAAAUAUUACUAUUAUAGACGAUGUUUGUAAAUAUAUCGAAGAGUGUUCCAUUUCAACGCAAUAAGACACCGGCACCGUUUAUCCCAUAAA